rnacentral:rRNA from 1 species
GUCGAACGGCAGCGGGUCCUUCGGGAUGCCGGCGAGUGGCGAACGGGUGAGUAAUGUAUCGGAACGUGCCCAGUAGCGGGGGAUAACUACGCGAAAGCGUGGCUAAUACCGCAUACGCCCUUAGGGGGAAAGGCGGGGAUCCUUCGGGACCUGUCACUAUUGGAGCGGCCGAUAUCGGAUUAGCUGGUUGGUGGGGUAAUGGCCUACCAAGGCGACGAUCCGUAGCUGGUUUGAGAGGACGACCAGCCACACUGGGACUGAGACACGGCCCAGACUCCUACGGGAGGCAGCAGUGGGGAAUUUUGGACAAUGGGGGCAACCCUGAUCCAGCCAUCCCGCGUGUGCGAUGAAGGCCUUCGGGUUGUAAAGCACUUUUGGCAGGGAAGAAAUUGCCUGGGUUAAUAGCCUGGGCCGAUGACGGUACCUGCAGAAUAAGCACCGGCUAACUACGUGCCAGCAGCCGCGGUAAUACGUAGGGUGCGAGCGUUAAUCGGAAUUACUGGGCGUAAAGCGUGCGCAGGCGGUUCGGAAAGAGAGAUGUGAAAUCCCAGGGCUCAACCUUGGAACUGCAUUUUUAACUACCGGGCUAGAGUGUGUCAGAGGGGGGUGGAAUUCCGCGUGUAGCAGUGAAAUGCGUAGAGAUGCGGAGGAACACCGAUGGCGAAGGCAGCCCCCUGGGAUAACACUGACGCUCAUGCACGAAAGCGUGGGUAGCAAACAGGAUUAGAUACCCUGGUAGUCCACGCCCUAAACGAUGUCAACUAGCUGUUGGGGCUUUCGGGCCUU